AUUGAACGCUGGCGGCAGGCCUAACACAUGCAAGUCGAGCGGAUGAAGGGAGCUUGCUCCUGGAUUCAGCGGCGGACGGGUGAGUAAUGCCUAGGAAUCUGCCUGGUAGUGGGGGAUAACGUCCGGAAACGGGCGCUAAUACCGCAUACGUCCUGAGGGAGAAAGUGGGGGAUCCUCGGACCUCACGCUAUCAGAUGAGCCUAGGUCGGAUUAGCUAGUUGGUGGGGUAAAGGCUUACCAAGGCGCCGAUCCGUAACUGGUCUGAGAGGAUGAUCAGUCACACUGGAACUGAGACACGGUCCAGACUCCUACGGGAGGCAGCAGUGGGGAAUAUUGGACAAUGGGCGAAAGCCUGAUCCAGCCAUGCCGCGUGUGUGAAGAAGGUCUUCGGAUUGUAAAGCACUUUAAGUUGGGAGGAAGGGCAGUAAGUUAAUACCUUGCUGUUUUGACGUUACCAACAGAAUAAGCACCGGCUAACUUCGUG
rnacentral:rRNA from 1 species